CCAAACCCACUUUCCUUUUUAUUGCGUAUUUAUCAUACACAUAGGCUGUUGCAGGGCGGGUGUAGGUGUUAGUUAUACAUAGGCUGAUAGGCCUAUAGUGUCCGUGCAAAUUCCCAGUCAUCCAGGUCAUCGUAACCUGAAAAAACGUAGAAAAAAAAUCAACUGGUCUUGGUUUUAGUAGAAUGGUUUUAGGUUUUUCUACCUAAAACCAAAUCCAGCUAAUUUUUUUCUACGCUUUUUCAUUUUAGGCCUAUAGUGUUUUCUUAAUCCCAAAAGAAAAUACAACUGAUCACAUUUAUUAAAAUAAAUUAAAUUAAAAUUUUAACCCUCUAUGGCAUGGUGUUGCCCUGAAGCAACAAACCAGUAUUUUGGCCCAUACAUCGUCCCUUUAAAUGUUUUUAAAGUAAAAAUCACAUUAAAAACCUGAUAAGUCUGUGACCAAUGAAAUUUGAGGUGGGAGUGGAUUUGACCUUUCCUCUGGAGGUGGAACAGUCCUUUUUGGGACCAUAGCCAGCUUGGACACACUGCUAGCAGAAGAUGGCCUGUCUGAUGACCACCGGCUGAUGUUCCACUUCAUCGACAUGAUCAUCAUGACUGCCUGGCUGCUCUACGAGACUGCAGCAGCACUUGGAUGAGAAAAGAGGAACAGAUGAAGCUUCAUACAUUCAAGUUGUAUAUUGCAGAAAGCUUAUGCCAAAGUGACAAGAAUCUGGAGCAUAAGAGAGGUCGUCCCAGUUCCACAGUUGCUGGGGAGUAUGAAGAAAAGAGGAGAAGAGGACCCACUACACCCAUACUGGUCCCUGAUGUGCGUCUGGACACCACAGCCCACUGGAUGGUCAUGGAUGAAAAGAAAGGGAGAUGCAAGGUACCUGGAUGCAAAGGUACACCUAAAGCCAAGUGCCAAAAAUGUGACGUCCACCUCUGUUUCACGUCCACCAGCAACUGCUUCCUAAGGUUCCAUGCAGAAUAAUACAGACUGUGAUUGGU